rnacentral:lncRNA from 1 species
UUGAUGAUCAUUAGGGGCUGCUUCAUAGCAGAUAACUCUUCUAUGGUGUCUUUCGCUUUGAUCAGCGCCACUCGACACGUGGACCGCAUUGGAGAUUAUGAUUGGGGUUCCUACACCUUUGCCUAUUUACUCAAGGGAAUGCGCAUGCGUUCACAGGGCUUAACCGAGGCUUGGUUAGGAUUCUACCCAUUUCUGCUAGUGAGUGUUUCUCUUGUUUUUUACCAUGUACAGGUCAAGAGUGUUAACUGACAGCAGAUGUUUAUCUUUAUAUUGACAGUUUUGGGCCUAUGAGAGGCUCCCAUGUUUGCAUCCUGUGAGUGUGUUAGGCUUAGAUACCUAUCCACGAGGACGGAGAUGACAUCAUUCCAUACUGGUGGAGGUCCUUAUUGCGGAGGGUUUUACUCAUUGCCACCUACAGCUGAAGUUGUUGACAGCAGAUGUCAUCACGUGGAUUCCCUAUUCAGGGGAGCAUUUGAGCAUUGGAUUUGAGGAUGGGUACCCGACUGGAGUUGAGCACGUUAUUUUCACCCGUAAGAUUCCUCUCUUCAUAGAUGGAGGAUGGGAGCUCUACUUAGGAGAGCAUGCUAUCAGGAG